UACAGAGGGUGCAAGCGUUGUUCGGAAUUAUUGGGCGUAAAGCGCGUGUAGGCGGCUUGGCAAGUCGGGUGUGAAAUCCCUCAGCUUAACUGAGGAAGUGCGCCCGAAACUGCCGAGCUUGAGUACCGGAGAGGGUGGCGGAAUUCCCCAAGUAGAGGUGAAAAUUCGUAGAUAUGGGGGAGGAACACCGGUGGCGAAGGCGGCCACCUGGACGGAUACUGACGCUGAGACGCGAAAGCGUGGGGAGCAAACAGG
rnacentral:rRNA from 1 species